CCGCCUGCCUGUGACUAUAUGUUCAACGGGGCGCGGUAUUUUGACCGUGCGAAGGUAGCGCAAUCACUUGUCUUUUAAAUGGGGACCUGUAUGAAUGGCAUACGAGGGCUUGACUGUCUCCUCUUUCAAGUCAAUGAAAUUGAUCUCCCCGUGCAGAAGCGGGGAUAGACACAUAAGACGAGAAGACCCUAUGGAGCUUUAGACACUAAAGCAGAUCAGCAUUAAUACCCUGAACAUAGGGCACGAAUAUACUGAACCCUGCCCUAAUGUCUUAGGUUGGGGCGACCGCGGAGAAAUAAAAAACCCCCGCAAGGACCGAAUGUACUACAUUCACAACCAAGAGCGACAGCUCUAAUUAACAGAUAUUUCUGACCAAUAAGAUCCGGCAACGCCGAUUAAUGAACCAAGUUACCCUAGGGAUAACAGCGCAAUCUCCUCUUAGAGCCCGUAUCAACGAGGAGGUUUACGACCUCGAUGUUGGAUCAGGACAUCCUAAUGGUGCAGCCGCUAUAAGGUUCGUUUGUUCAACGAUUAAAGUCCUACGUGAUCUGAGUUCAGA
rnacentral:rRNA from 1 species